ACAUUGUUUUGUUUCAUGCUUACUUUUGUGGGGCAGGAUAUGUCUCUUGCUUUGCUUAAUUGGUAUUUUGACAUUUCAUUCAUUACCUUCUGGAAGUCUCCCUCUGGAAGAGGCCAUGUUACUCCUGAAGAGUAAUUAACUACUACAAGUUUCAUUUCAUAUUUCUGCCAUAGGGUGCUGGUUUUAACUUUGUUGUAGGUCUACAGUAAGAUUCAGUUUAAACUCAUGUAAAUUUAACAUAUGAUUCUUACUUUGCUCUUUGGUACUGUAAACUAAUGACAGUGUGGUAUGGACUAGACAAGAUUGGGUGCUUGAAGCUAUGAAUUCUGAUGGUAUCUCUGCCACUGAUUUCUUAUGUAGCUUUCUUAAACGUAACACUGUUUCAUAAAGCAAAUAUGAACAACGCUGGCCUCUUACUUUUGUAGUGAUACAUGAUUAAUUUGUUGCUUUGACUUUUUUUUCAUUGUAUUCUGGUGUCUUUGGAGUGACUAUAUACAAUCUCUGGUAUCUUACGAGAUCGUUAACCUUGUUUAAAAGCAGUAGGUUAUUAUAACUUGAUCUCUGUAUGGAUUGUGGUAAGCUUUAUCAUAUACAAAAUUCUAUCUUGGUUGGCCUGAGUAGACCUUCUAAACAGUACAAAAGAAGUAAGAGUGAUAGAAAUAAGUAUCACUUGCUGGUGAUAAAUUGUCUGCAUGCUUACUAAAUUAUCCUGGUGUAUAAAAAAUCAAAUUAAUUAGAAAACUAAAUUUUCAAAAAUUAUCUUUAAUUCUUAAUAAGUUUAAGAAAGGCUGUGAGAUAUUUUUAUGUACUGCUUUGAAAACUUAACCUCAUUUAUGGAGCCUUAGCAUCCUAUAUUAUGUAAAAAAUACCAUAGGACAAAAUCAAUUUUUUUGGGAAGGAAAUUAUUAUGUAUUUCUACUUCUGCUUCUAAAUAGUUCUUCUGUUUGGAUACACUUAUAAUGACGAUUAUAAUGAAUUAAAACUUUGUGUUGUGCUUCUUCUGUCAGAAACUACCAGUGAAGCCAGAAUCACAGGGGUGACCCUUCAAUUGUGAAACUGAAUAUUGCUAUUACCACAGGCUACCUCAUUUCUGAUUUGUUGCUUAUUAUUUGCUACUGGAAGGCAAUUGGUGACAAAUUUUUUGUAAUACAUCACUUGGCAGCUCUGUAUGCUUAUUAUUUUGUACUGAGCAAAGGUCUGCUGGCUUAUUUUGGGAACUUCCGUCUGCUUGCAGAAUUCUCCACUCCUUUUGUCAAUCAGCGGUAAGUAGCUGUGGAGUUUUUACACAAUUCUUUACAUUUUUAUCUAUAUUAUACAGGAAGGUUUUGUCAUUGAAUAGCUGCUAAAAGUGAAUUUUCAUUUAUUUAGAGUUUUUACUAUCUGGAAAUCUAUUUUGCUAUGAAAACAUUUAGCUGCUGUUGCUGCACAGCUGGUGUGCUCACCCCUGAGUUCUUUCUUAAAGCAGACCAACCUUCAUAUGAAAUGCCAGAUUUUCAUUCUUCUGUUAUAAAAAUAGUUCUGGAUUCUGAACUCUUAAAUUAGAAGAGUAGUAAAGCAUCUAAAUGCAGCUGUGGUAGUUAAACUUUACACUUGUGAUCAGAGAAGAAAGUCUGCUAAAGAGCAGGAGGCUCUUUAGCAGACUUCAGUGACAGUGGAAGACUGCUGUGGCUUCUGGUUGUAGCAUCACACUCAAACUGCUGCUGUGAGAAUCAGGGAAGGCAUGAUAAUGCCAAGGAGGGCAGUCCCUGGAAUUUCCCAGUGCUCUGGGCUGGGUGUCCUCUACUGCUCUGCAGCUGCUGUGACCCAACUGGGGACACCAACAUGCCCCAGGACUUCACCUCGAGAGCAGGACUUCAGUAUAGCAUGGAGCUGCUGCCAUAUCCUCCUCCUCCUCUUCCAUGUUUUUCUUUUGUUUGUGGUGUAGGAUCAGAUCUGACAGUGCACCGCAUACCCAUUCCCAUCCUUUUUGGGGUGUUUCUACUUUACUGAUCCUUCUUGUGCAGUGUCUAUUUUCCUUUCCAGGUGUCAGAUAGAGAAAGGGUGAGGGUGAUAAGAAAAAGGGUCUAUAAGCCUUCAGACAAGAUGUCUGCGUAUUAUCUAUUACUACGUUGUGAUUGUCAACUCUGAAAGAGUUUAAGAGACUGUAGCAUUCCUCACGUUUCUAAGAAUGUAAAAAACAAAAGGAAGGAUUGUGCUGAGGACCCUUCUGAAUGUUGGCAAAUUCAACUUAGAGGAGGGUAGGUAAUGGAGCUCUGCAGGGCUAUUUCCAGUUGUCCAUGGGAAGACUGUUGUGGUUUAAUUCAGGCUAACCAAGGAGUGAAUAAACACUUCUUCAAGCUUGUUUUAUAGGAGAAUAAGAAAGCAGGAGGUAGUGUAUUCUGAAGGUAGUAUUAUAUUCUAGAUUUCUCUAUUGGUGCUCAUGUCCCAGUCAUUGUUCUCAUAACUGACUUUUAUCAAGAUAGGAUUUCAUAUUGGAAAUGGAUGCUUACCUUUCAAAUUUAUUAAAAGUAGUAUAUAUUAUACUUUUAAAUGCCUGUGGUGAGACUGUGUCCUUGAAAACCCACAUCUACUGCUUUCUGAGAAAAACAGAAGUCUCUGCAGAGAUGAUAAGGUCCUUCACACUGAGAGAUGUCAUCUCAUUAGUGUAUGGUUUUUUUCCCAUUACAUUUGAAAAGGCAGCAAGUAGUGGAUAAUGAUAAUGAUUUACAUUAAACUUCUUGUUUGCAUUCUUAAUAUUACCAAAAAAGAGCAGUAUUAAAAUAUAAAAUGAUAGUCUAAUCUCGGAACUGAAGUAUUUUCUUUGUUUUGGUGUUGUUAGGGGUAUUUACUUCAAGGUUGUCCCCAUUGCAAGCAUUUAGAUCUUUUUAUGUUCAUGUCAACAUUUAUGCAGUUAAUUAUAAACUGUGUUGGGUAAAAUGUUAACAAUCACUGAGAUUUACUUAUAUUUUUUGAAUUUGCUGGGAGAGGGAAGUCUUUGAGCAGAUGUCCAGUCACUCUUUUCUCCAGCAGUUACUUAUCUUGGCACAUUGCUGUGGACUUCAAAAACUUUCUUUGAUGUUACUUCUGGAAUCUGCAUUAUAUGUACUGAGGAAAAUAUAGGCUCUGUCUCACCAAACAUGCCAGGUCUCUGUCAGCCCAGCGUUUUGGUGGGAAGGUGUCCAGCUUCCUGAUCAGGCUAUCACCUGGAGAGCCUGGAGUUUGUAUCAGCUGCAUUCUUAACUGAUUCCUGGUGUGUUUCCGUUAGAGCUGGAUGUCUGGCAAGUCUUUUUAGUAUAUCAGUAAUUAUGUAGGUUGCAAUCUGCGGAUAAUUAAAGUUGACUUUAUUUUUUACAAGUUUUUAACUUGUUAUUUUGUUUAAUAGCUUUACCCCUGUACCUUUUUGAAAACAAAUUGGUUAUCCCACUUCCUCCUUCCCAAUUGCUGUCAUGAAUACGUUGAUUCAUGUUAUUUUCCUGUCUUUAACCUGCCAUUGUUGCUCAGUUUUUCCUUGCAUUUAUUUAUUAUGUGUGAACGUGCCUCGCUCCAAUUAUAGGAGAGAGAAGAGAGAAGGUUCUUUAAUAUAUAUGUGUACUCAACGGUGAGAUUAAGACACCAUGGGUCUGACCAGCUUAUUACAAAUCCUAGUUGUUUUGGGAGACAGGGAAGGGAAGACGGAUGAUAAAAGCAAGCAGUUUUUGUAGAAAGCAAGAGAGAAGCCACCACCAUAGGUCCAGUGUGGUUUGUAGUGCAUCUGUAGAUCCCAAAAACUCAUCUGGUCACCAUGGGGGAUGGGAGAAAGACAGGAAGCUUUGCACAGUAGCAGCAAGCAGGGCCCAGGAGGGGGUUCUUUCUGAAGGGUUUUUUUUUCUCUUAGGGAAUUCCUCUGCCAAAGGUUCUUUCGCUUUGGGAGUUUCUCUCCUCCAAAGGUUUCUUUUCUUUGGGAGUUCUCCAGAGUCCUUAGUUUAGUGGGAACCUUUCAUCCUCCGCUUUUCAGUUUCUUUUUUUAAUUCUUUUCUCUCUGUUAGCAUGACACGCUUGGCCCAACAGAUAAGCCAACAUGGAGUGAUGCCUUUGUUGCCAUGCACAAGCAUUAUUGCCUUUGCAGUGGUCAGCUUCUUCAAGCUGCACCCCUGAAAAAGACUGCUUGUCCCGCUUCUGCUUAUCUUUACACUCAUAAGCAGAAGUACUAUGGCACGGUGACACCCACCACUCACCCCUGAGAUCUAUGAAAUAUUACACCUCUAUUUUAUUACCAUAUCCAAAUACAAUGUUAGGAUUGCUUUCAGGAGAGAAAUAUUUUUUUUAAUUGCCUGUAGGUGCAAAUUAUAAUAAAAAGCAAUAAAUUUGAAUUUACCACCUUAAAAGUUAUUUUAAAUUAUAGUGUAAUGGUCAUUGGCAUACAUAGUGGUCUUGAGCUGACUUACAAUUUGAACUGGGAUUUUCUAUGUGUUAUCCUACACGUAAUGUUCUUGAUAUCACACAGUACUUA